rnacentral:rRNA from 1 species
AGCGAACGCUGGCGGCAGGCCUAACACAUGCAAGUCGAACGAACCCUUCGGGGUGAGUGGCGGACGGGUGAGUAACGCGUGGGCACCUGCCUUUCGGUAAGGAACAACCUCGGGAAACCGUGGCUAAUACCUUAUACGCCCCAUGGGGGAAAGAUUUAUCGCCGAAAGAUGGGCCCGCGUCCGAUUAGCUAGUUGGUAAGGUAAAGGCUUACCAAGGCGACGAUCGGUAGCUGGUUUGAGAAGAUGAUCAGCCACACUGGGACUGAGACACGGCCCAG